rnacentral:antisense_RNA from 1 species
GGGCUGCUGCGCUUGGCCGCUGCCGAGUCCUGGCUCCUUGGCUCCACGCUCUGGCAGCCUCCCGGCUGGACACGUGGGUUUUACGACAGCACAAAAUACGAGAGAGAGAGAUUGUCUGAGCCUGGGAAACGUGCCGUUUAGACUUCAUCCGGGUCUCAUUCAGGAUGCUUCGAUGUUGGUUGGAACAGAGUUAGAACGAAAAUGUUUUGACUGGCGUCGUUAUGACAAGGUCAUCCGUCAUUGUUGGAUAGAUUGAUAGCACCCAAGUUUAAGGCAGACACCACGAGGGAAAACCCACGGCGCUGUGGUCCCGGAGGCUAACCAGGCAGUGUCCGCAGACCUCCAGCAACUCCAUCGGGAGGAGAGGAUGAAGUUCCAGGCCCGUUUCAAUUAAUCUGCUCGCAGAACUGCCGAAGAAUGGCUUGUCGGGCCACGGGAGAAGAAACAAAUGCUCUUUCUCACACUCUCCUGGUUCAUUGCUGAGAAACCAGGACACUCCUCUGUUCCCUGGGAGAGACAGUGAGCUCCAGGGAUGGAAGUCCGGACUCCGCGGGGUCCCGUCAUCUGCCUUCUUGUUUCUGCCCAAACCCAGCUACUCCCAAGCGCUUGGUCCCCAAGACUGGAAGUCCCAAAGAACCUACCUCUACUUGUCCCAACCCCGCCUCCCCCCUACCCCUUCACCCUCUGCCACCAUUAGAAAGUCUCCGGAUUUUGAAAUGCUAGUUGCAGCAGCUGCUUCCGUGGCCUCAUGCCGCGCACACUCUGGGAAGCGGAGGAGGGAGGGUUCCUCUCGUAAUAAGA